CCUCGCGCCAAACCCAAUCCGGCGAGCCGCACGUGCGCCGCUCAACUCAAGCUCUCCCCUCCCACUCCUCUCCUCUCCCUCUCCUCCCCACGGUCGGGUCAACCACCCCCACCCGCUGGAAACCGUGCUCGCGCAGUCGCGCCCGUAAACAAUUGCCGGAUCCCCCCACACCAAGAAAGAAAUGCCGUGGAAGCGCGCCGGCCCACGCCCCGCUGUACAGUUGUCGCGCGCGGCCGCGGCCGAGUAGUUUAAUCCUCGGGGGAGAACGGGACGGGGGGCCGCCCCGGAUGGCCGUGUCCUCGUCGCCUUCCUGCAGACCCACUCCCGGGUUUGAGGCGUCCCUCUCCCUCCUCCUCUGCCGCCGCCGCCGCCGCUCUUUCCGGUUGCGUUUGGGAGGAAUGGUUGCGGAGUUGGUGGGUUCUCAUUCUCCGCUGGGGUUUUAGGAGGAUUCCGGGGCUCUCGAGUCUCGGCAGGGGGGGUGGAAGCGGAGGUCGGAGGGAGGUUCUGCCGGGCGCGAGACGGAUUGGGCGCUGGAGCUCCUCUUUGGUGGUGAGUUGGAUUUGGGGGGAAAUCUUCCAUCGUUCUUCUGCCUUCAAAAGGGGAUGUCUUUUUCAGAUGACGGAAAGAUGAAGGGCUGUCAGCCAAACCUUUUUCGGACAAAGGAUAAGAAAGUCGCCAAGAGGACAGACCGUGCAGGCUGCUCCACAUCUAAGAGUGGAUCAAGCAACUCAAAGUCACCAUCUUCAUCCCCCUUCCGGAAACUUUCAGAAGUUAGGAGCAUACGUCUCAGCCAUUUUCUAAGUCACUCUUCAAAUGCUACAAAAUAUGAACAUGUUAGUUCUGUGUUUAGGAUAUUUGUCUCCACAUGGAACGUUGGAGGAAAAGCGCCUACCGCCGAGUUGAAACUGGAUGACUUUCUUCCUGCUGAUGACCAUUCAGAUAUUUAUGUUUUAGGUUUUCAGGAAAUUGUGCCUCUCAAUGCUGGUAAUGUCCUUGUGAUAGAAGAUAACGAACCAGCUGCAAGAUGGCUUGCUCUUAUAAACCGUGCACUAAAUCAACCAGUUGACACUGAUGCUGAUAUAUUUCAGCACAAACCAUCGCCCUCCCUGGAUUCAACCUCAUCCCAGUCAACACCAGGCCUUGAUGGUUCGUUCUCCAACCGUUCAAGAACAGCCAGUGGUUCUGUAAUCUUCCAAAAGUCCUUGAAAUCCAUCAGGAAAUCUUACAUGCCAUCCCAGAGAAAACUGCUCAAAUUCUGCAAUUGCCCAGUGGAAAUGGCCAAGAAAUCCUACAAAGAUGCUUGCUUUCGAUGCCCACGGCCACAAGCAUAUGCCAAUGAAAUGGAUUCUUCAGAAGAGGAUGAAUUGGAUGACAAAUUGAAUGAUAUUUUUGGCCUUAAUGAUGAUGAUGUUACUUCGUCUGCUUCUGCCUCCAGGGACCAGCUAAAGUAUAACCUCAUAUCUUGCAAACAAAUGGUUGGUAUUUUUGUCACAGUCUGGGCAAAGAAAGAACUAGUGCAGCAUAUAGGACAUGUGAGAACAUCCUGUGUUGGUCGCGGAAUAAUGGGAUAUCUUGGAAACAAGGGAUGUAUAUCAGUAAGCAUGACAUUGUACCAGACAAGCUUUUGUUUCAUCUGCAGCCAUUUGGCUUCAGGUGAAAAGGAAGGCGAUGAAUUGAGGCGGAAUUUAGAUGUGUUAGAGAUUCUAAGGCUCACACAAUUUCGAAGGAUUUGCAGAAGAGCUGGGCGAAGAAUCCCUGAGAAAAUUCUCGACCAUGAGCGGGUGAUAUGGUUAGGAGACCUGAACUACCGAAUUUCCUUGAGCUAUGAAGAUACCAAAAAACUUCUGACUGAAAAUAACUGGGAUGCCCUUUUUGAAAAGGAUCAGCUCAAUAUUCAGCGUGCGUCUGGAAGUGUGUUCAAGGGGUGGAGUGAAGAGAAGAUAUAUUUUGCUCCCACAUACAAGUACUCUUGCAACUCAGAUUCUUAUGCUGGAGAGACUGCCACAUCAAAGAAAAAGAGGAGAACCCCAGCCUGUGGCGAAGCUAGAGCAAAUCCGAGAGGGGUGCGGUUGCCUUGUAGAUGCAUAAAUUUGAGUCAUAACCAUGGUGUGAUAGAAUACUAUGGCAUGGAGAUGGUAUUGCACAGUUAUCGUACUUCCGGGGGGAGUCUCAAUUCUCUGACCAUCGUCCUGUUUGUGGAACAUUUAUUGUUGAUGCUGAAAGGCUAGAUGGCAAAUCAAAGAGGCGCUCAUCAAACACUAACAUUAGAAUCGGUGCUGAAGAGCUGUUACCGACAAGCAACAAGCAUAACUAAGGUGCUGGGGCCUAAAUCACCGAUUAAAACUAGGUUUUUGUGUGACUCGGGAACACAACACUGCAGAACCUUCGCAAGGACGCCUAGGUAUCUGUUCCUCAGGGAAAUUUUAUGUGACCAAAGAAGUAUGAUUAGAUAUCAUAUGAUUAUUAUUAUGUUGUUGUACAACAUGUAAUCGCGUACAGUUUCGAAAGGAGUAGCUAGUCAUUAGUUUAUAUUGUAUACCUGUAAAAUUUCCCUCACAAGGUUGUUUUGGUUCAUUUCUGUACUUCUUUCUUUUGUACUUUUCAAAGUUGAACAGAGUAACCAAAGGAUGUUUUCCUUUCUUUUCUGUACUGUACAAAGUUUGUAUUUUGACCUUUGUUUGUAGGGUCAAGUUUUGAGUUUGUCUAGGACAGACUACAGAGUCUCACUGGAAGGAGACAUUAUUUUAAUUGUAUAUCAUUUAUUCCAUAUCUUGAUUAUUA